rnacentral:rRNA from 1 species
GGGGGGGGGGGGGUUAGGUGCAUAUGCACCUAACCCCUUAACCAGCUCAAAAUAACAAUAAGCACAUAUAUACCCGCGGUCCCUCCUAGACCAAUGCCAAAGACCCCAUUGUUACUCAACUUAAAAAACCUUAAUGGCCAGCCUCCGGAAAACCCACCCAAUGCUAAAAAUUGCCCCCCCCCCCCCCCCAACUUCCUUAGACGGGGGGGGAGGCAAGGAGGGUGUUGUUAACAGUUUUAGUCGUGGGAGGGGAGCCUCCGUAGGCUUGCCAUUAAG